CUGUAGGCUCCGCUGCUGUUCGGAAUGUUGAUACCGGACUGAGGUCUGGUCCCGGAGCCUCCGGAGCCCCCCACAGACCUGGCCCUGGCUCCAAGGUGCUGGCUAGUGCUGGACGAGGCUCCGGAGGCUCCGGACGCACUAACUUCACAGAAACCCCCCGACCAGUGUUGGAGGUGUAACUGCAGAGUGACACAGACACACCACCGCACAAGUUACAAACUCUAUACUUCAGAGGCUCCACUAUUGUCCUGGUCCAAAAAAAUCCCUCCAUUAGUAGAUAAAAUGACAAAAGCCUGCCACCUGACAUCUGUGGUCAUGAAAUCCUCUAAAAGACUGUUGCUGACUCACCUGAAGGACAUCACAGCUCUCUGCUGGACCCCCUGCAGAUUGCUUACUGCGCAAACAGGUCAGUGGAUGAUGGAGUCAAAAUGGGACUGUGUUACAUCAACACUUCAACUUCCCAGGGACAUUCGUAAGAAUCUUGUUCAUUGUUCAACAACACCACUCAACACCACCAUCCCAGACAUCCAUCACACCAAACUCACUCAGCUCACUGUGACAGCCCCCACCUGUCAGUGGAUCACAACCGUCUCGACAGACCGGGGGCAGCAGGUGGCGAGGCAAGGGGAAAUCACAUCCAGCACCCAAAGCAUCAGCACUGGCAGCCCCCAGCAAUGUGUGCUCUUCCCACUGCUUCUCUCUCUACACCAACAACUGUGCCUUAGGAGUCUGUUAAACUCCUGAAGUUUGCAAAUGAUACAAGUGUCAUCUGCCUUAUCUGGUGAUCCUGUGUGGUCAGAACAACCUGGAACUGAACGCUCUAAAAAACUGUGGAGAUGAUAGUGGAUUUCAGGAUGAGCCCUCCAACACUGCCCUCCCUCACCAUACUGAACAGCUCUGCGUCUGCUAUGGCAGCCAUCAGGUUUCUGGGUCCGCAAGUGGACUUCCAAAAUAGACACUAUCAGGGAAAAAGGCUUGGCAGAGGAUGUACUGCCUGCACCAGCUCAGUGAGUUGCACCUGCCUCAGGAGCUGCUAAUACAAUUCUACACAGCAAUAAUCCAGUCCACUCUCUGCACAUCCAUCACUGUCUGGUUUGGAUCAGCCAAACAGGACAGGAACAGACUACAGCGGACAGUCAGGACUGUAAAAAAAUAGUCAUUGGUGCAGCCUACCCUUAAUUCAGGACUUAUAUACCUCCAGAGUCAGGAAACGGGCAGGUAACAUCACUGCAGACCCUCACAGCCUGUACACACAACCUGUUUGAACUCUCUGUCCAUCAGCCCCUGGUCACUCCUUGGCAGUGCUACUGCUGUAGUUUGCUGUUUGUAUUGUGUUACAUAGUAAGGUGUUUCUUAGUCUACCUGAAUUUAUAUAAAUACUGUCAAUACCGUUAUUGAUAUUAAUUCAUUGAGCAGGACACUUCACAGAGAAACAAGCUACAGCAACAAUAUUGACUCUGUGAGGCUGCAAAGCAGUGCUUCAGGCUCACAUUAGCAUGCUAAUAUGCUUAAAAUUAAAAUGUUAACAUGGUGAUUUUAAGCAGGCAGUGUUUACUAUGGUCACUAUCUGAGUCUUGCUGAUUCACGCUACUUAACAAUACACACAAGGUACAAUAUCUAAUAGUUGUUAAGAAAUAAACCCACUGACAUCUGCCAGACUGCUAAUGUGGCUAAAAGAAAACUUGUCUCUGCUCUCAGGCGAACAGACUAUAUAAAAACAACACUAUCCCUGAGUGACAUACUUUGGCAUGUUUAUACUGUUUCUGAUUAUAUAUUGGCACCGACAUAUAAGCUAAUACCUGGCUCUAAUGUUGUACCUUUAAAGGGCAUCACCACCUAAAUUAAGAAUUCCAAUAUGUUAUUCAAAUGGCCCCGGAAAGCUCAGUCCAUAUUUAUACACAUUAGCUACUCUUUCUCAAAGCCACAAACCAGAAAAGUAAGUCUCAAACUUGUGAUUUCAUCAAGUAUAAAGUCUGCAGCUGCUCCAUAAACAAUGAGUAAGAGACUGAUUUUGUGGACACACAGAAUGUUUGUUUGCUUUUUUAUACUCGUGAGUUUUAUUCUACUAUAGUGUUCUCAGUUAUGUUAUCAUAUACACAAAACAUUCCCCUGGGUGCUGCUGGAUGUCAUCUACAACAUCUUACACAAUUCAUUGUCUAUGUAGCAGCCCGAGUUUAUACCCCAUGACAGUGAUACUCACCUCAAGGCCCGUGGGCCAGAUAGAGUGCCAGGUGGUCCACCGACCAUUUUCUUAUUCACUUUGAAAAUAUAUUGAUUCACUCUGGGAUUUCUUUUAAAAUUUGAAUUUAAAUAAGGUGCCAGAGUGCAGAGAGAGAGCAUCAAAGUAGAACUUGUUUAUCAAAAUAAAGUUCCAGCAGAGGAUCCCCAGGGACUCUGUCGAGGUGUCUGGGGGAUAUUGUGAGCACACAAUGUCCUCAUAUCCUAGAAACAUCCCUGUUUACACCUGACCUGUGCUGCGCUGCUGCCACAGGAUUUGCCUCUUGGCGAAGAUAAGCGAGGACAAGAGAAAAUGUUGAAAUGUUCAAAACAGGCAAUUUAUUUAUGCUGAUAAAUAUAGUAUAGUAUAGUAUAGUAUAGUAUAUAGUUAACUGUGUGGCCCCCAGGCAAAGCAAGCUGAGUAUCCCUGCCAUAUAACAUCACAAACUGGAGUUUUGGCACUUUAGUUUUUUGAUUUAGUAGUCUUGUUCCUCUUUACUUAUAUUUUUUGGACUCUCUUCGACCAUAGGAAUAACAUGUAUGAAUUCUGAAAAUAUGGAGUUCCCCAAGUACAAACCUGUAGACCUGUAAUCUACAUUAGACAAUUAUUUAUCACAAUUAUUAUCAUGACUGCUGUUUAUUGUUGGCAGUGCUCCUUAUCUUUCCACAGUAAUGCACUGCAUCAUUUUAUGUAGCCGUCCUGUUCAACUGAGCACACACAACAAUUAUGUAACAACAAUAAAUGCACUUUUAUUUAGAACAAUUGCCAUAAUCUCAAGAUAGCAAAAAACAAACUGAACCAAACAAACAGAAAAACCUACUAUGAUAUGCUUUGCAAAACUGUGAGCAGUUAUGUAAAGUACACUGUACAUCACCUGUAAACUCACUGUAAAGUGUAAAAUACUUACAUGGUACUUAAGGGAAAAAUAUAUAAUACUAUUAGGGACUGGUUGUUAUUUGUGAGGGAGGAAGGGAUGAUGC